GGGUUGUGAGGUUAAGCGACUAAGCGUACACGGUGGAUGCCCUGGCAGUCAGAGGCGAUGAAGGGCGUGCUAAUCUGCGAUAAGCGCCGGUAAGGUGAUAUGAACCGUUAUAACCGGCGAUACCCGAAUGGGGAAACCCAGUGUGAUUCGUCACACUAUCAUUAACUGAAUCCAUAGGUUAAUGAGGCGAACCGGGGAACUGAAACAUCUAAGUACCCCGAGGAAAAGAAAUCAACCGAGAUUCCCCAGUAGCGGCGAGCGAACGGGAGGAGCCCAGAGCCUGAAUCAGCAUGUGUGUUAGUGGAAGCGUCUGGAAAGGCGCGCGAUACAGGUGACAGCCCCGUACACAAAAGCGCAUGUGCUGUGAGCUCGAUGAGUAGGGCGGGACACGUGGUAUCCUGUCUGAAUAUGGGGGGACCAUCCUCCAAGGCUAAAUACUCCUGACUGACCGAUAGUGAACCAGUACCGUGAGGGAAAGGCGAAAAGAACCCCGGCGAGGGGAGUGAAAAAGAACCUGAAACCGUGUACGUACAAGCAGUGGGAGCACAGGUUUACCUGUGUGACUGCGUACCUUUUGUAUAAUGGGUCAGCGACUUAUAUUCUGUAGCAAGGUUAACCGUAUAGGGGAGCCGCAGGGAAACCGAGUCUUAAUUGGGCGUUAAGUUGCAGGGUAUAGACCCGAAACCCGGUGAUCUAGCCAUGGGCAGGUUGAAGGUUGGGUAACACUAACUGGAGGACCGAACCGACUAAUGUUGAAAAAUUAGCGGAUGACCUGUGGCUGGGGGUGAAAGGCCAAUCAAACCGGGAGAUAGCUGGUUCUCCCCGAAAGCUAUUUAGGUAGCGCCUCGUGAAUUCAUCUCCGGGGUAGAGCACUGUUUCGGCUAGGGGGCCAUCCCGGCUUACCAACCCGAUGCAAACUGCGAAUACCGGAGAAUGUUAUCACGGAGACACACGGCGGGUGCUAACGUCCGUCGUGAAGAGGGAAACAACCCAGACCGCCAGCUAAGGUCCCAAAGUCAUGGUUAAGUGGGAAACGAUGUGGGAAGGCCCAGACAGCCAGGAUGUUGGCUUAGAAGCAGCCAUCAUUUAAAGAAAGCGUAAUAGCUCACUGGUCGAGUCGGCCUGCGCGGAAGAUGUAACGGGGCUAAACCAUGCACCGAAGCUGCGGCAGCGACACUGUGUGUUGUUGGGUAGGGGAGCGUUCUGUAAGCCUGCGAAGGUGGCCUGUGAGGGUUGCUGGAGGUAUCAGAAGUGCGAAUGCUGACAUAAGUAACGAUAAAGCGGGUGAAAAGCCCGCUCGCCGGAAGACCAAGGGUUCCUGUCCAACGUUAAUCGGGGCAGGGUGAGUCGACCCUAAGGCGAGGCCGAAAGGCGUAGUCGAUGGGAAACGGGUUAAUAUUCCCGUACUUGGUGUUACUGCGAAGGGGGACGGAAAGGCUAUGUUGGCCGGGCGACGGUUGUCCCGGUUUAAGCGUGUAGGUGUGUGUUCGGUAAAUCCGGUUCACUUUAACACUGAGGCGUGACGACGAGGCACUACGGUGCUGAAGCAACAAAUGCCCUGUUUCCCGGAAAAGCCUCUAAGCAUCAGGUAACAUCAAAUCGUACCCCAAACCGACACAGGUGGUCAGGUAGAGAAUACCAAGGCGCUUGAGAGAACUCGGGUGAAGGAACUAGGCAAAAUGGUGCCGUAACUUCGGGAGAAGGCACGCUGACACGUAGGUGAAGUGAUUUACUCAUGGAGCUGAAGUCAGUCGAAGAUACCAGCUGGCUGCAACUGUUUAUUAAAAACACAGCACUGUGCAAACACGAAAGUGGACGUAUACGGUGUGACGCCUGCCCGGUGCCGGAAGGUUAAUUGAUGGGGUCAGCGCAAGCGAAGCUCCUGAUCGAAGCCCCGGUAAACGGCGGCCGUAACUAUAACGGUCCUAAGGUAGCGAAAUUCCUUGUCGGGUAAGUUCCGACCUGCACGAAUGGCGUAAUGAUGGCGGGCUGUCUCCACCCGAGACUCAGUGAAAUUGAACUCGCUGUGAAGAUGCAGUGUACCCGCGGCAAGACGGAAAGACCCCGUGAACCUUUACUAUAGCUUGACACUGAACAUUGAGCCUUGAUGUGUAGGAUAGGUGGGAGGCUUUGAAGCGUGGACGCCAGUCUGCAUGGAGCCGACCUUGAAAUACCACCCUUUAAUGUUUGAUGUUCUAACGUGGACCCGUAAUCCGGGUUGCGGACAGUGUCUGGUGGGUAGUUUGACUGGGGCGGUCUCCUCCUAAAGAGUAACGGAGGAGCACGAAGGUUGGCUAAUCUGGUCGGACAUCAGGAGGUUAGUGCAAUGGCAUAAGCCAGCUUGACUGCGAGCGUGACGGCGCGAGCAGGUGCGAAAGCAGGUCAUAGUGAUCCGGUGGUUCUGAAUGGAAGGGCCAUCGCUCAACGGAUAAAAGGUACUCCGGGGAUAACAGGCUGAUACCGCCCAAGAGUUCAUAUCGACGGCGGUGUUUGGCACCUCGAUGUCGGCUCAUCACAUCCGGGGCUGAAGUAGGUCCCAAGGGUAUGGCUGUUCGCCAUUUAAAGUGGUACGCGAGCUGGGUUUAGAACGUCGUGAGACAGUUCGGUCCCUAUCUGCCGUGGGCGCUGGAGAACUGAGGGGCUGCUCCUAGUACGAGAGGACCGGAGUGGACGCAUCACUGGUGUUCGGGUUGUCAUGCCAAUGGCACUGCCCGGUAGCUAAAUGCGGAAGAGAUAAGUGCUGAAAGCAUCUAAGCACGAAACUUGCCCCGAGAUGAGUUCUCCCUGAGACUUAGAGUCUCCUGAAGGAACGUUGAAGACGACGACGUUGAUAGGCCGGGUGUGUAAGCGCAGCGAUGCGUUGAGCUAACCGGUACUAAUGAACCGUGAGGCUUAACCUUACAACGCCGAAG
rnacentral:rRNA from 1 species